GAUCAUGGCUCAGGAUGAACGCUGACAGAAUGCUUAACACAUGCAAGUCUUUGGCGAAGCUGUGCUUGCACAGCCUAGCCAAGGCGGACGGGUGAGUAACGCGUAAGGGACUUGCCCUGCAGUCAGGGAUAACAGACGGAAACGACUGAUAAAACCUGAUAAAGUCAGGCGGACCCAUGUCCAGCCUGAUGAAAAGGAAUGCUGCAGGAGAGCCUUGCGU
rnacentral:rRNA from 1 species